GCACGGGUAGCAAUACUGGGUGGCGACCGGCGCACGGGUGCGUAACACGUAUAUAAUCUGCCCUUAACUGGAGGAUAGCCCGAAGAAAUUCGGAUUAAUACUCCAUAGUCUGAUUGAAUGGCAUCAUUUGAUCAGUAAAGCUCCGGCGGUUAAGGAUGAAUAUGCGACUGAUUAGCUAGUUGGUGAGGUAACGGCUCACCAAGGCAACGAUCAGUAGGGGUACUAAGAGGUUACACCCCCACACUGGUACUGAGACACGGACCAGACUCCUACGGGAGGCAGCAGUAAGGAAUAUUGGACAAUGGUGGCAACACUGAUCCAGCCAUGCCGCGUGCAGGAAGAAGGCGCUACGCG
rnacentral:rRNA from 1 species